AACAAACGCUGGCGGCGUGCCUAACACAUGCAAGUCGUACGAGAAAGGGUCCUUCGGGGCCUGAGUAAAGUGGCGCACGGGUGAGUAACGCGUGGAUAAUCUGCCCUUCAGUUGGGAAUAACUCAUCGAAAGGUGGGCUAAUACCGAAUAAUGCUGUGAGACCUCGGUUGAUCAGCCAAAGAGAGCCUCUGCUUGCAAGCCCUCGCUGAGGGAUGAGUCCGCGUACCAUUAGCUAGUUGGUAGGGUAAUGGCCUACCAAGGCGACGAUGGUUAGCGGGUCUGAGAGGAUGAUCAGCCACACGGGAACAGAGACACGGUCCAGACUCCUACGGGAGGCAGCAGUGAGGAAUCUGGCGCAAUGGGGGCAACCCUGAGGCAGCAUGGCCGCGUGAGUGAGGAAGGUCUUCGGAUCGUAAAGCUCUGUCGGAUGGAAAGAACCGCAUAGGGGUAAACAGCCCCUGUGUCUGACGGUACCGUCAAAGGAAGCACCGGCUAACUCCGUGCCAGCAGCCGCCGUAACAC
rnacentral:rRNA from 1 species